UUUACCCUGGAGUGUGCGUUAGGGGAUUACGUCCCUGAGCCGAUAAGCAAUGCCAAAGGGUUAGUACUUGGUUGCUAUUGAGCAAGCUCGGCAUGUACCGAGAAGCCUACGGUAGCCAUUGCUGAUCCGCCCUGAACCAGCUGGUUCAUGGGUCAAACAUCUCCAACGGCACUCUGGGGUAUCC
rfam:Vibrio sinaloensis strain T08 Contig19, whole genome shotgun sequence.